rfam:Gossypium hirsutum cultivar TM-1 chromosome 19, whole genome shotgun sequence
AUCAAAGUGGCGCAAUGGAAGUGUGGUGGGCCCAUAACCCAUAGGUUCCAAGAUCGAAACUUGGAUUUGAUA